rnacentral:rRNA from 1 species
AACGAACGCUGGCGGCAGGCCUAACACAUGCAAGUCGAGCGGACAUCUUCGGAUGUUAGCGGCGGACGGGUGAGUAACGCGUGGGAACGUGCCCUUUGCUUCGGAAUAGCCUCGGGAAACUGGGAGUAAUACCGGAUGUACCCUUUGGGGGAAAGAUUUAUCGGCAAAGGAUCGGCCCGCGUUGGAUUAGGUAGUUGGUGGGGUAAUGGCCCACCAAGCCGACGAUCCAUAGCUGGUUUGAGAGGAUGAUCAGCCACACUGGGACUGAGACACGGCCCAGACUCCUACGGGAGGCAGCAGUGGGGAAUCUUAGACAAUGGGGGAAACCCUGAUCUAGCCAUGCCGCGUGAGCGAUGAAGGCCUUAGGGUUGUAAAGCUCUUUCACCGGGGAAGAUAAUGACGGUACCCGGAGAAGAAGCCCCGGCUAACUCCGUG